UCACCAUGGUGGGAAUGAACAAACACCAGGUUUUAUCCAUUAAUAACUGAAUCCAACAGCUUUAUUUCAUGCAAACUUCAAUUCUAAAUUCUGAUAACUAACCAUUUCUGCAUAGUUUUAAAAGAAAAGCUGCAGUACCACAGUGUCUUCUAGAUUAAAUUCAAACUGGGACAGAGGACUGGUGGGACGGUCUCGUAGUGCGUGAAGCUGGUUAGUUUCUUAGACCUGUAAACCUGGGGAAUCGGAUCGAUCUUGGAAUCAGAAACUAUAAAUUUCUGCAGUUUUGUCCCUGCUUUUAAUGAAACUAGUGACAUUUUGUUCCUUUGUCAGGAUGAUGAUGUUCCAGGUGUCUCUGUUGUUCAAACAGAAGUUUGUGCUCCUGCUGAUUGACUUGUCCAUGGCCUGCACACUCGGUAAGCUCACGCAGAACAAAAGGUGAGCUGCAGUCUGAACCAGAUCUCAGGAUGGCCUGGUUUUUGUUCCCUUCGGAUUAUGGAUCGUUUGAUGGCAGUCUGUUGAUCUGGAAAGUCCCUCUGGUCCUAUCCGCUCUGGUUAGGGAGGGAGCAGGAUUUAAAAGUCGGAGCUUUGGUGUGGGACUGGAGGGUUUCCUGCUGGAUGAAGCUACUGUCACCUCUAAAGGAAUGAUGAAGUUCCUUUUGGGUCAGAGGGAGGCUUCAGGAAGGUACAGAGUCUGGUUGAUGAAACCAUUGGCUUGGAGGAAAUGUUUUAAUCGUAUCUGUUCUUCUCUGCAGAGUUUGGUGGUGGAAAACAUGUACAAGGAGUCUUAUACGGUUCUUCUGAUGUAUGAGCAUCUUUUCUCUCUGGUCUCUGAUGAUGGACACUAAACACAGAACAUUCAAAGUGCCUGAGACUCCACUAAUCUGUAGACCACCUUUCAGACUCAACCAUAAGAGAUUAGGGUUUAAGAUCAGGAAAGAACCAACUGAAGAGGUCUGCCUAAUCACUCAUGGUUUAUCUCUUUGUAGAGACAAUCAGGAGUUCACAGUUUACCUGGGAUGUCGUCUUGGAGGAAGUCUGGAUUAAACGGCACCAGCUGCUGAUGCUGGAAGCCCCAGCAAGGCCUCGGCGUCAACCCGACUGUUCACAUGAAUGGCAGCAAAGCCUACGAGCUGCGACUUCCCUUCAACCAUGGUGACCGGUUCUGAUCACUUUUGCCUCCAUGUUGAUUAAUAAAUAUUAUUUAUCA